rnacentral:tRNA from 1 species
UAGCUCAGUUGGUUAGAGCAUGGUGCUAAUAACACCAAGGUUGUGGGUUCAAUCCCUC